UAGGAGGAAUAGCUCAUUUGGUAGAGCAUGAGACUCUUAAUCUUAGGGUCAUAGGUCUGAGCCCCACAUUGGGCAAAA